CACGGGGGGAGCAAGCGUUGUUCGGAAUUACUGGGCGUAAAGGGCGUGUAGGCGGUCAGGUAAGUGGAAUGUGAAAUGCCCCGGCUCACCCGGGGACCUGCAUCCCAAACUGCCUGGCUUGAGUAUGGGAGAGGAUGGAGGAAUUCCUGGUGUAGCGGUGAAAUGCGUAGAUAUCAGGAGGAACACCGGUGGCGAAGGCGUCCAUCUGGCCCAAUACUGACGCUGAUGCGCGAAAGCUAGGGGAGCGAACGGG
rnacentral:rRNA from 1 species